CGCCCGCGGUAUCCUGACCGUGCAAAGGUAGCAUAAUCAUUUGCCUAUUAAUUGUAGGCUAGAAUGAAAGGACAAACGAGAAUAUCCCUGUCUCCUUUAAGACACUAAAAAUUUAUCUUUAAGUGAAGAAGCUUAAAUUUCUAUGCAGGACAAGAAGACCCUAUAGAGCUUUACCUAAAAAUUGCAAUAUUGGCAAAUAAGGGUUCGGUUGGGGCGACCAGGGGAUAUUUAUCACCCCUAAUAACUUAGACCCACCGGGUCAUUAAAAGAUCCUUACUUAAGAUCAACGAAUCNAGCUACCUUAGGGAUAACAGGCUAAUCCUCUUAGAGAGCCCUUAUCGACAAGAGGGGUUGGCACCUCGAUGUUGGCUU
rnacentral:rRNA from 1 species